GGUUUUCCUAGAUUCAUUUGGAUGACAUUGUUAAUUUAAUAUAUGAAACACUGAUAAAUCCCUCCUAUAAAGGAUAAUGUUGAGGAUGAUAAUGAAGAUUAAGCUGAUUAUUAUUGUGGUUUAUUGGCAAAGAUAGAGUAGUGUU